UGACUGUUUAUUUACCGAUCGUCGUCGACUCUUCGCUUGCUUUGGGCAACAUAGAGAUCCACUGCACUGCAAUCAAUGAUAAGGACUUAUGGGAGGAACAAAUCUUAAAAGUUCGAAAUGAAAAAUCUAAAUCUGAUAGCCAGGAUGUGGUUCAUUUAAAAUGUAAAGAUACUGAAAUGGAUGUAAAGAAACUCUUAUCUUUGGUCCUGAAAAUAAGAGCGUACACUGCUUACACUAGCGGAAGGACCUUGUUUUUGUGCAGGAAUGGUGCUACCUUCAGUGGACUGUGCAGUGUACUUUCUACUGUACUAGACAGACUGGACGAGGACGCUAACGUCUCAGUUCCUCUUGUUGUAGGUGCAAUGAAAACUGUCAGGCCAGAAGUCAUUCCAAAUUUGG
rnacentral:sRNA from 1 species